rnacentral:rRNA from 1 species
CAGUAAGAGUUUGAUCAUGGCUCAGGACGAACGCUGGCGGUGUGCUUAACACAUGCAAGUGGAGCGACGACCAGGGCUUGCCCUGGGCAGAGCCGCGAACGGGUGAGUAACACGUGGGUAACCUACCCCGAUGACCGGGACAACCCGAGGGAAACUCGGGGCUAAUACCGGAUGUGUCCGGCGUCCAUCAGGAUGCCGUGCAAAGGAAGCCUCGGCCUCCGCAUCGGGAGGGGCCCGCGGCCCAUUAGCUUGUUGGUGGGGUAACGGCCUACCAAGGCUGCGAUGGGUAGCUGGUCUGAGAGGACGAUCAGCCACACUGGGACUGAGAUACGGCCCAGACUCCUACGGGAGGCAGCAGUGGGGAAUAUUGCGCAAUGGCCGCAAGGCUGACGCAGCGACGCCGCGUGGAGGAUGAAGGCCUUCGGGUUGUAAACUCCUGUUGCCCGGGACGAACCUCAGGUUUCGACCUGACUGACGGUACCGGGUGAGGAAGCACCGGCUAACUCCGUGCCAGCCGCCGCGGUAAUUC